UGGGGAAUUUUGGACAAUGGGCGCAAGCCUGAUCCAGCAAUGCCGCGUGCAGGAUGAAGGCCUUCGGGUUGUAAACUGCUUUUGUACGGAGCGAAAAGGUCUGCCCUAAUACGGUGGGCCCAUGACGGUACCGUAAGAAUAAGCACCGGCUAACUACGUGCCAGCAGCCGCGGUAAUACGUAGGGUGCGAGCGUUAAUCGGAAUUACUGGGCGUAAAGCGUGCGCAGGCGGUUAUGCAAGACAGAGGUGAAAUCCCCGGGCUCAACCUGGGAACUGCCUUUGUGACUGCAGGGCUAGAGUACAGUAGAGGCAGGUGGAAUUCCGCGUGUAGCGGUGAAAUGCGUAGAUAUGCGGAGGAACACCGGUGGCGAAGGCAGUCCGCUGGGCCUGUACUGACGCUGAUGCACGACAGCGUGGGGAGCAAACA
rnacentral:rRNA from 1 species